rnacentral:rRNA from 1 species
UACAGAGGUCCCAAGCGUUGUUCGGAUUCACUGGGCGUAAAGGGUGCGUAGGUGGUUAGGUAAGUCCGAUGUGAAAUCUCCAGGCUCAACCUGGAAAUGGCAUUGGAUACUAUUUAGCUUGAGGAGUGGAGGGGGGACUGGAAUUCUCGGUGUAGCAGUGAAAUGCGUAGAUAUCGAGAGGAACACCAGUGGCGAAGGCGAGUCCCUGGACACUUCCUGACACUGAGGCACGAAAGCUAGGGGAGCAAACGGG